rnacentral:misc_RNA from 1 species
AACGGUCUAUACCUGCGGUACCUGCGGAGGGAUCAUUACUGAAUUGAUUUUGGGGAUGUUGCUGGUCUCUUGAGGCAAUGGUGCACUCCCUCAAACAUUUCACAAUUUCCAUCUUACCCAUGUGCACAUCCUGUAGGUGGUCUCCCAACCCACCCUCCAAGGAAAGGGGGGGAGUGUGUGGGUCUGGUCUCCUAUGUAUUUCCUUGCCAACAUCACACGUUUUAACUGAAUGAAUCCUGU